UAUGCGUUUUGCGUGUGGUGCUGAAAACGGAUGUUCAGUCCAAGGAAAAUGCAAAAUUUCACCGCCGAAAUUUGAUCAUAAGGAAUUUUUCAUCAUUUCGUGAUAUUGCAUAAAUAUAUUAUACAUUGGCGUUACAUUGUAGACGAACCAAGUUACUUGAGGCCGUAUGGCUACAGAGCAAGUAGUUUAUGUUUUUCACUUGAGAAUGACAGUGGGUGGCAGAGGCAGUUUUAUGUCAUUCCAACUGUUUUACUGAAUACUUUACGCCCACAUUAUCAAAGAACUAAGUGUUUAUGUUUCAUUUUUUUCAAAGAGAUUUAAUUAACAUUUAUGGCAUUGAUCCCUUACUACUUGCUGUGUUUGCUUUUGAUCUACGGGGACUGCAUCAAUCCAGGGAAGGUCUCACUCGUGUCUUCAAUAAUUCUUUUCUACUAGUGUUAGGACAGGGAGUAAAAUAUGCCCCCUAAGCAACAACCAAAAAAAGAUCCAAAGGCUGCCACAGCCAAGAAGAAAAAGGAAGGAGGAUCUCAAGGUGGUAAA